rnacentral:ncRNA from 1 species
ACCUUAUAUAGAUGUAGUGACGCAAGACAGUUGCGCAUUUCCCUGUAAGGUAGUGUUUUAAUAGAAGUAUAAGCGACAAGCCUUAUUGUGUGGCUAAGAGUCGAAAUAAGAUGAGUUUAUACGAAACAGGCUAACCGUAAGGCCUUGAGUUGAAAAACUCUAAAAUUAACCUAGAAUUCGAAUUUCUGAAAUUUUGUGUUUUCUAGUUACGGUGGA